UUAUUUAUUCUGCUGGUCUUAUUUUGAUUUCUUCUUCUUAUUGUGUUGAUUCUCGUGUUGCUCCCUUUUGGUUAAAUUAUUGAUCUUCAGAGAUUUGUCCCUUAGAUUUCUCCUGUGGCCGGCGGAGAUUGGUGCUGCCGUCUACAUCCUCUUCUCCCUCACACUUUCGCCCUUCUCUUCGUCCCUGGCAGCCGGCGGCGCGGAGGAGCAGCUCGGCUUUCCCGAGGCGACCCAGAUCGCCGGCCUGUGCUACUUUCCCGACUGUUGCGACGGCCUCCCCGGGAUUCCUCCAGCUCGGGCGCGUUCUCAAAAAAAAAUCUGAUUAUUUCAAGAGGCGUAACUCUCCUAGAUGGGCACGCGGUCGAUUCGGCUCGCCAGGCUGAUGGUGGCGUGGUCGCAGAUGAGCUAGGCCACCAUGGGAAGGAAAAAAGAGGAGUCGCUGGCGGGCGGGGGCUUGGCCGAUGGUGCCGGCUGCCGAAAUCUACCGGAAGCCGGUCCCUGGAUGGGAAGCCAAAAGCGGCAGGGCCUGCGAGGGGAUUGCGACGUUGUUCCCGCUGGACGCUUCCUGCUGGUGUUUGCAGGGCUGGUGCUGGCGGGCACCAUGCAUGGUGUGCCUCGCGUUCAUCAUGCCAGUCUUCCUGCUCUUCAGCCAGGUGCUGGUCCCGGUCACGCUCACCAUUGGGAUGGUCAUGAUGGGACUGAGGUGAGAACUCCCUUUGGACACUGACAACUCCUUUCGCUAAUGUCUUAAAUCCAUGUGCUGCUUCAUCAGAUCAGUUGCUGUUUAAGAUCUGGAUUUCCAUGGCAUCAGUAUCAUCUGGGAUUUAGUAUGGUUACAGUCUAAAUUGGAGCUACUGAAAUAAGGUCGUCUUGCUACUUUCUGUUUUUGGUUUGGUUCAUCCAAAUCCCUGUCAUGUUAGAUAAGUACUGGAGGACAUGCUCUCUAAAUUAAAUUUAUUUUUAUCCUUUCUCUAAAUUCCUACAGGUACAUGAUUUUAUAAUAGUGCACAUUUUAAAUCCUCGCUGCCUCCAGGUACCUGGGUGAGCUGGACCAAUUACUCACACCACUCGCUUUCAUAGGUUUACUUAUUAUUUUGUCCCGAAAUAUCUCAUUUUUGUUUUGUUUUGAUGCUAAAGCCUACAAGAUAUGUGAUCAAUGAAUAUUGUCUUUUGCAUUAUAGAGGAAAGUUGAACCACCAGGUCAAGCACUCAUAAGGCAAUGGUGGAACAAGCAUUGUCUUACAUGUUACACUGUUUGUGCAAUAAGUUAGAAGUAUCUCUUAUUCUCAAAUACUUUGAUUGAGGGCUUAUAUUUUGUAAGAAAUGAAUCUUGAGAUAAACAGUUAAAGGCGAUUCUUACUGGAAAUAGGUGGAUCAUUUCUUCUGGGUGUAUUAAUUCCAUGUUUAUUAAAAAAUAUUCCACUGUUGCCUCCGAGUGAAGUAAGACGCAUUAUGCAUGCUUGACGAAUUUACUCUUAAGGUUAAAUUUAAACUCUUCCUGAGUAGAAUUAAAGGCGAGUUCUCAACGGAGGUACAUUUAGGAUUUCUUUAAGGGCAAAAAGUUCGGAUGGUUCAGACUCUUUUGUUCUGCUAUUUUUUCCCAAUUCUGCUACCAUGUAUGAAUUAAGCAAAGUUGCCACCAGGUCUUAGAACGGUUAUGGAGAAUUUUGGUGGUGGUGACUGAAUUCCCUUGUUUUCCUUCCUUGCCAUCGUGCCACUAUUCUAAAUAUAGUUUUCGUGCUAGGUUAAAGCACACUGUGUCUAGCAAGUAUUAUGUAUGCCACCAUCAUACAUUUGUAUCUCUCAACUGGAUCUGCUGACUAAGUUGUGCACCUCCCAUUUACUAACUUCUAUCUGAGAAGUCUUUGUGGUGUUUUGUCUGCAGAUAUGUUAUAGUGCUUAUUUCUACUUCUUGCUGGUGAUGUAAUUAAUUUCAAGAACGCCUCGAUUGAGCAAUUGACAAUGUUACAUUGCGCAAGAGCUAGGAUCAUCCACUUGCCGCUUUCUUCCAAAGGAAGCAUGAAAAGGAGAAACACAGAUACGAGUGUGCAGAGGGAUGCGAUGUAUUGCACAGUACAUUCCUUUUCUCAUCAACUCUGUACUCUACAUACAUAUAAUACUUGCUUUCAGGCCCACAAACCCACAGAGACCACUUUGGAUCACAUUGAACGAAUCAAUGGCAAACUAAAGCAUCGAAAUUUCAUGGAGAGCAUUGAUAAGAUCGCCCACUUCAUCAGUAAAUAUUACAGGAUAAGGACCCAAGAAGAUGAACCGGAACAAGAAGUGCACCACCGAUGAGUCCAUCCGGUCCGAACCUCUACAGUACCACCCAGGCAGCGAUUGUGACGUUGCCUUCAGUUGUUUCUAUGUACCGAAACUUACUAUCCACAGUCAAUGCCCUGCAUAUGCAUAUCAGUUGUACACAUUGUAUGAAAAAACAAAAUGAUCAGUUUCGUGCCUUAGAUUUUCCCACAAUACAUAACAAUGUAUUUUUUAACGUAUUGCUUAUCGGCCAUUUACUAUUACACCUCCA